rnacentral:lncRNA from 1 species
CAGGAGAAAAUCCAAGCGACAAAUAUAUAUAUAUGUAUAUGUAUAUAUAUAAUUAAAUAACAAAAAAAAGAUAAAAAAAGAUGAGAGAUCGAGAAGAGAGAGAUGUGACUGUGAGAGGAGAGAGAGUCGAGCAACGUUGACGACUGAGAGAGAAGGGUCUCACCACGUUGUGCGAUGUCGCAGUCGAGAGAGAAAGAAAGAGGAGGAGGGUUGCGCAGGUUGUGCGAUGCGGUGGCACGUGAUCGAAAAAAAAGAGAAGAAGAGAGAGAAGAGUCAUGUUUAGGUAGAGAGAGAAGGAGAAGAAAAAGAAGAAGAAGAAGAAAAGAAAAAAAAAGAAGAGAAAAGAGAAGAGAAGC